GGUUCCUACGGGGCGCAGCAGUGGGGAAUAUUGCACAAUGGGGGAAACCCUGAUGCAGCGACGCCGCGUGAGUGAGGAAGUAUUUCGGUAUGUAAAGCUCUAUCAGCAGGGAAGAAGAAAGACGGUACCUGACUAAGAAGCCCCGGCUAACUACGUGCCAGCAGCCGCGGUAAUACGUAGGGGGCAAGCGUUAUCCGGAUUUACUGGGUGUAAAGGGAGCGUAGACGGCGGUGCAAGUCUGAAGUGAAAGCCCAGGGCU
rnacentral:rRNA from 1 species